GCCAUGAUAGUAUAGUGGUAGUACAUUGCGUUGUGGCCGCACCGACCCUGGUUCGAUUCCAGGUCAUGGCA